rnacentral:lncRNA from 1 species
GAUUAAGAAAGCCUUUUGGCUGCAGAGUACACAGAUGAGCACCAACAUCUGCCUCUGAUAUCAUGGGCCAGUGAUGUCAGAGAAUAGCAGUCAAACAACUGCAAGACCCACUGGAUGAGAAUGGGAAUCAAUGAGAGCACUUAUUAUUUGCAAAGUAUCAGAGCAGAAAUUUUGAUAUCUACUAAAGCCUUUUAAAUAGCAGUCUCAGAGAACAGUCCUUUGCAGUUGUAUUCAGUAUGAAUGGAAACCUUUGGAGGACUUCUAGUGGGAAGAGUUCAGUAUUCUUCAGUUCCUGGAUUCAGGCAAGUAAAAGGAAAGAACAGGGAGUGCAGGAAGCCAGAAGCACAAUUUUGGAUCAAGUACUCUUUUCAUCACUUGGCAUAAGGACUGCUCUCAAAAAAAUGUGCAGCUUCCACUCAGUGCUUAUUUGA